rnacentral:rRNA from 1 species
UACGGGGGGAGCAAGCGUUGUUCGGAUUUACUGGGCGUAAAGGGCGCGUAGGCGGUCAGCACAAGUCAGUUGUGAAAUCUCCGGGCUUAACUCGGAAAGGUCAACUGAUACUGUGCGACUAGAGUGCAGAAGGGGCAACUGGAAUUCUCGGUGUAGCGGUGAAAUGCGUAGAUAUCGAGAGGAACACCUGCGGCGAAGGCGGGUAGCUGGGCCGACACUGACGCUGGAGGCGCGAAAGCCAGGGGAGCGAACGGG